rnacentral:lncRNA from 1 species
AUAAAAUAUGGUCUUAACAACAAAAUCCUUAUCCAAGAUAUAUUUGUGACCUAUGCAUAUACUAGCUAGUACUAUAUCUCAUACAAUUUGUGUGUGUAUGUCAAACUAUCAAUUACUAGUAAUAUAACAAAACCAAAUAAACAAAUAUAUAUAACAAAAUUAUAAUGUAUCCUAUAAUACUUUUUACAAUCAAUGCAUACACAUUAUGUAUAGGUAAAGGAAAAAAAAAAAAAAAAACAAUUUUGGUAGAGGUAUCUUUUACUUUUGUUGUGAGUUGUGAGUUGUGACUCCUUUUUUAAUUUAAUUUUCUCAAAAAAUUUUUUUUAUGUGGCAGCAGAGCCAAUUUUUUGGAUGCGUAUUGGUGUGAAUGUAGACACGUGGUGAAACGAGAUUGGAAGAUGACAGCUUUGACGGCAUGACGCCAGAGUGGACGACGCGCCG